rnacentral:tRNA from 1 species
GUCGGGAUAGCUCAUUUCAGAGACCAAAGGACAAAAAAUCCUCGUGUC